rfam:Myotis lucifugus cont2.16559, whole genome shotgun sequence.
GCCAGUGUUUCUCAGUGGUUAGAGAGUUGGCCUGCACACCCAAGGGUUGUGGGUUUGAUUCCUGGUCAAGGGCA